ensembl:lncRNA
CAACUGGCCCGUCCCUUCCUUGUCAGAGUAGAGGUUCUGCCCUUUGCUUUCGGUGGGCGUGGAGAUGCCCUUGCUUGAGAAGUCAGCAGUCUUCUCUUAUCCGUGCUCUUGCGCAGUCGGGUUGGGCUGGAGUCGUGGAUGCCGAGUUCUGUGAGGUGGUCAUGCUGCAGGCUGGGAGCUCAGGCCAGGAAUCCAGAAGAGGGACCUUCUUCAUGCAGGAUGUAUGAAAAGGCUGCAGGAAACUGCGGGCUGCAGAGAGCUCUGCGAGUGGUAGGCUGAAUCAGAGGGCCAAGUGGGCCUGAGGAGCAGAAGCCUCGCCUCCCAGCUGCCCAGGGCAGCCCUUGGCAAGAACCCAGGCAGGCAGGGACAAUGGGAGGAAUGGAGAAUGGGCAAAGCCCAGCUGUGGGGGGUGGGGGGGGUGGGGUCCAAGGUCAGGACUCCAGCUCUGCAGGCAUCCAGGAACUACUUAAGAUACAGGGGUUCUGUUUGUGAGGCUGAGGCUGUCGGGCCUGGGCACAGUGUGGCCUGGGCCUUGGGGCAUGGCGGGGAGAAGGCCUGGUCCUGGGGUGGAUAAGUGGCCUGGAGCAGGGGUCUGGGUGUGGAAGCCAGGACCUGAAGGCCCAGCUGUAACGGAGGUUACAAAGCUGUGUUAUGGAAGGCCCCAGGAGUUGGGUAGGUUUCCUGGUUGAGAAGCUUGGAGGGGCCUGUUUGCAAAACAUCUGGAGGAUGUGUGUCGCUGUCCAGUCAAGCUGGAAAGCAUCCCACGUGGCUCAUGGGUCGGGGCGUAGCAGCACUGACCACAGGGGAGACACAGGGACACCCAGACUCUGUCCUUGCGGUGACAAGAGAAUUGUCUUCAGGAAAAGAACACCAGAAGCUCACACACACCAGAUUCUUAAUGGGCCAGCAUGGUUCAGGAAGGUGUUGAGUCUUGAUGGACCCAAGAGCCAGGACUCUGGCAGGAGAACGGAAUCCCUGAUGGAUUCAGACAGAGCAGUAGGAUCCUGCUGGGAGUGGGUUUGCCUGGGUACCAAAGCAAACUUUUAACCAAGUAGGUCCCUGGGCCUCUGCUUGACCCCACUGACCCCAUGUGGCAGAAGGUAAGAGCUCAGGCCCUGGAGUCACACUGAUCUGAGUUCAAUUCCUCAUUCUACCACUCACCAUGCUGUAAGACCUUGGACAAGUUACUUCAUCCCUCUGAACCUCAGUUUCUUCAUUUACAAAAUGGGUGUAGCACUAUUUACCUCACAAAAGUGUUGAGGAGUAGUCCAUCUUGAGAAGGCUCUGACAGUUGGGUCAUGGAGAAGACCAGUAACCAGUGAUAACUGUGGCAGGAGGGGUCUGGGUGGGUAGACACUGACGGUUCUGCAUCUAGGAGGCUCUAGAGAGCAGAAUAUUCACUGCAUUCCCUCCAUGCUCCCCCCCUAAACACACAGGCUGGGAUGUCAGAGCUGGAAGGACCUCAGAGACCACUCAAGGUGGUCAACCAGCUUCUCAGAGGCCAGGCCGUGACUGGAGUCAUGCCCUCCUGGCUUGGUAGGACUCAUUCUGCCAAAUACUCCAGUGAUUAGAGCAUGGCCAUCAGCUCUAGAGUCCACCAAGUCUGCAUUCAAAUCCCUAGCUCUACCACUCAGUCACCUUGCCUCUCUAAUCCUGUUCUUUCAUCCCUAAAAUGAGGAUAAUACUGAUCCACACCUUGGAGUUGUGCUGGCCAAUAUGGUGGCCACUUACUAUGUGUAGCAUUUAACUAUAAUUAAAAUUAAAUAAAAUUAAAAUGAAUAAAGUUCACGUUCUCAGUUGCACUGGCUGUGUUUCAGAUGCUCAAUAGCUGCAUGUGGCUGGUGACCACUGUAUUGGACAAUGCAGACAUAGAAUAUUUCCAUCACUGCAGGAAGUUCUGUGGGGUUGAAGAUGAGAUUGCUGACCUGCUACUGGUCUCAUUCUUCCACAUGGACCAAGGAGCAGAGGAAGCCAGUCUGCAAUAUGGAGAAGAAUGAAGCAGAUGCAGUCAUGGCUUCUGAGAGCAAGGCUGGGAGUGGCUGCCUGGAUCCCGGAAGGCUGUCACUUUCUGCAUGUACUUCCUGUUCUUGGGUUCUGUGAGACACCCUCUAGCUUCUGCAUAUACAUUUUAAGUGACUAUUUCUAAAGUUGGGAAAUUAAGAGUAGCUGCUGAUUCUAAAGAGAAGCUACAUGAAUUUGGAACUUUUGUGCAUUACCAGUGAGUUUACUGGAGGUAAUCAAGCUGGACCUCACUUGGAGAUGUCAUAAAGAAAUGCCAACACUUGGUGAGCAGACGCUUAAGUAAAGAAGGAAGCCAUAGGAGUGGGUAAGAUCUCCCAGAGAGAAAGUGUGGAGAGAAGUCACAGGAACCUUGCAGAACAACCACAUUUAGAGAUUAAUUGGAAGGUGUAAGGGCAAAGAGUGAGUGAUUUACCAGAGAAUUGGGGAAGCUAGGAUGCUAGUGUCCAAAGAUUCCAAGGGAAGAGCAAAUUCAAGGAUCUUAACACACAAGGAAACACCGGUGACUUUGGGCAGGCUUUGGGGUUGGUUGAGUGAGAAGCUCGAUGAUGUCACUUAGAACCCAGGUUCUUUCUACUUCUCUGCUCUGCUGCACUUGGCACUAGCUUCAUCUAAGGGUUGACUCCUCCCUUGGUUGAGAAAUAACUGCCAGUAAUGGGCAUGGUGGAAGAAAGAUAGGGAAUGUUCUCCCAGCCAUGGACUCUAAACUUUGCUCUUCAAUCUGAUUGGACCACUUCAGAUCAUGUGCACAUCUCUAGGCCAGUAAGGUUCACCAGAUAAACGCCAUUUACUGACCGGCUUAGACAAGUGAGGAGCUACUCCUUAAACUGGAGGUGGGAUCAGCAUCCCCUGAAGUAUAGAGGAUUGUGCUCCACCUGAACAUGCUCAGGGUUCUGUUGGAGAGGAAGAAAGGGGAUUGGAAUCAUCAGAGGCAAUGAACAGUCCCCCACAUGUGGCCCACAAGGCCUGCAUGAGCUGGUCCUGCCUCACCCAGUUCUUGCUGUCUGUGUUUUGUAAAGUUCUUAGAAUGGAGUAGGUUUCUUUCGCCCUCAGACCUUCUCAUACACUGAUCCUUCUGUGGGGAAUAGUCUCCAUGAUAUUUGUUGCCUAAUUCUUGUUCUUAUAUUGUCUCACUCAAAUGUCAUUCUUUGAAGAGAACUUUCCAAUCCUCCUAAACUAAAUUGGGUUCCCCUGCCCCCACCUCCCACUCGUGUCCCUAUUGGAAUCUAAUUUCAAGUUGUAAUUAUGUUUCUAUUGUGUUCAUUUGUAGCUCUAUGGGGCAGGCGCCAUGUUUGUUCUGCUCACCAAGGAAUCCUCAGAGGUUGGCGCACAGCAGAUGCUCAAGAAAUAUCUGACUUUCAGAUAUCCCAGGCUUCAAAAUCCACUAAGAUUUCAAAAAGAAAAUUUCAAAGGGAGGAAGCAGCAGUGGUCUGCUCUGAUAACUUGUUUAUCAGUUUACUUU